rnacentral:rRNA from 1 species
UGCAAGUCGAACGCGAAAGUCCCCUUCGGGGGAUUAGUAGAGUGGCGUCCGGGUGAGUAACACGUAGGUAAUCUACCUUCGGGUGGGGAAUAACGCAGGGAAACUUGCGCUAAUACCGCAUAAUGCAGCGGCACCACAUGGUGACAGUUGUUAAAGCGGGGGAUUUUCGAACCUCGCGCCUGAAGAGGAGCCUGCGGCAGAUUAGCUAGUUGGUAGGGUAACGGCUUACCAAGGCGACGAUCUGUAACCGGCCUGAGAGGGUGGUCGGUCACACUGACACUGACAUACGGGUCAGACUCCUACGGGAGGCAGCAGUCGGGAAUUUUGGGCAAUGGGCGAAAGCCUGACCCAGCAACGCCGCGUGAAGGAUGAAAUCCCUCGGGAUGUAAACUUCGCAAGAAUGGGAAGAAUAGACGAGUACUAAUACUGCUCGUGAUGACGGUACCAUUUGUAAGCUCCGGCUAACUCCGUGCCAGCAGCCGCGGUAAUACGGGGGGAGCAAGCGUUGUUCGGAUUUACUGGGCGUAAAGGGCGCGUAGGCGGUCAGCACAAGUCAGUUGUGAAAUCUCCGGGCUUAACUCGGAAAGGUCAACUGAUACUGUGCGACUAGAGUGCAGAAGGGGCAACUGGAAUUCUCGGUGUAGCGGUGAAAUGCGUAGAUUUCGAGAGGAACACCUGCGGCGAAGGCGGGUUGCUGGGCUGACACUGACGCUGAUGCGCGAAAGCCAGGGGAGCGAACGGGAUUAGAUACCCCGGUAGUCCUGGCCUUAAACGAUGGAUGCUUGGUGUCUGGAGUUUUAUAGUCUCC